UGAUCCUGCCGGACCUGACUGCUAUCGGAUUGAUACUAAGCCAUGCGCGUCAUUGUAGUAAUACAAGGCAGACGGCUCAGUAACGCGUAGUCAACCUAACCUAUGGACGGGGAUAACCUCGGGAAACUGAGAAUAAUACCCGAUAGAACAUUAUGCCUGGAAUGGUUUAUGUUUCAAAUAAUCUAUUGCCGUAGGAUGGGACUGCGGCCUAUCAGUUUGUUGGUGAGGUAAUGGCCCACCAAGACUAUUACAGGUACGGGCUCUGAGAGGAGUAGCCCGGAGAUGGGUACUGAGACACGGACCCAGGCCCUAUGGGGCGCAGCAGGCGAGAAAACUUUGCAAUGUGCGAAAGCACGACAAGGUUAAUCCGAGUGGUUUCUGCUAAAGGAACCUUUUGCCAGUCCUAGAAACACUGGUGAAUAAGGGGUGGGCAAGUUCUGGUGUCAGCCGCCGCGGUAAAACCAGCACCUCAAGUGGUCAGGAUGAUUAUUGGGCCUAAAGCAUCCGUAGCCUGCUUUGUCAGUUUUCGGUUAAAUCCAUUCGCUCAACGAAUGGGCUGCCGGGAAUACUGCAAAGCUAGGGAGUGGGAGAGGUAGACGGUACUC
rnacentral:rRNA from 1 species